rnacentral:lncRNA from 1 species
GGGUGGGGGUUAAAUUGAUAAUAGUUGCUUGUUUGAAUGAAUGGAUUUAGACAUCUUUGAACAGCUCUUCUUAUGAGUUAUACAAUUUUUCCAAGUUUGGUGGUAGAAGGUUCAUUAUAAGAGAGUAAAAAUAAAAAAAGAUAAAGAGAAUUAGGAAGAGAGAGAAGAAUGGAGUUAGGACACAAAAGAAUUAAGAAAG